UUCCUGGGUUAUGCUAGCAUCAUAGCUUUUUAUGGUAUACAUAUACAGUCAGUCUCCAACUUACAUAGAUGAAUCAUUCUGUGAUACCUUAAAUCAAAUCAUACAUAUGUCAGAAUAUAUAUUCUAUAGUCAGUGGUAUUCCCAAAAUCUUUGGUACCCAAGGCGGCAGUUUGUUUUGGCCCUCUCUCCCUCUUCAAAAAAAAUAUCUGUUUUACCUUUCAACAUGCAUUUUAUUUUAUACACAUUUUAAUUUAAAUAAAUUUUAAGAAUUGAAAAUUAUACAAACAUUUUUAUACAAAUAUCUGGU
rnacentral:lncRNA from 1 species